rnacentral:rRNA from 1 species
CUCGUAGGCGGUUCAGUAAGUCGGGUGUGAAAACUCUGGGCUUAACCCAGAGCCGCCAUCCGAUACUGCUGAACUUGAGUACGGUAGGGGAGUGGGGAAUUCCUGGUGUAGCGGUGAAAUGCGCAGAUAUCAGGAGGAACACCGGUGGCGAAGGCGCCACUCUGGGCCGAAACUGACGCUGAGGAGCGAAAGCGUGGGUAGCAAACA